UACGUAGGGGCCUAGCGUUGUCCGGAAUUAUUGGGCGUAAAGAGCUCGUAGGCGGUUCGGCAAGUCGGAUGUGAAAUCUCCAACGCUUAACGUGGAGGGGCCAUUCGAAACUGCUGUGACUCGAGUCCGGUAGGGGAGUGUGGAAUUCCCGGUGUAGCGGGUGAAAUGCGCAGAUAUCGGGAGGAACACCAGUAGCGAAGGCGGCACUCUGGGCCGGAACUGACGCUGAGGAG
rnacentral:rRNA from 1 species